GAGAGAGAGAGAGAGAGAGAGAGAGGAGGGGGGGCAUGGGGUUUGGAGUGACCCAACCCUGUGUGCCCCAGGGCCAUGGUCACACAAAUUUAAGGUGAGGGCUGUUUCUACAAAACGUAGAACAAGACUGAUGGCCCAUAGUUGCCAAGAGGGACAGAGAAGUGUCCCGUGUUAACUAUCUGGUACCAGAAAGAUAAUCACUGCCAAAGCCACAAAAAGGUUCACAUUUGGAGCCUGUCUGGUCAUUUUUAAAAUGUGAAUUUAUUUCUCUUUGUAAUAUUAUGGUUGAACCUAACUAAGGCUUGGCACAUACUAGGCAAGCAUUAUUCCCCUGAGCUACUUUUUCCCAGCCCACAGCCUUAUAUUUUUAUUUAGAGACAGAGUUCAGUAAGUUACAAUCCUCCUGCUUCAGCCUCCUGAAUAACCAGGGUCUCAGACCUGUCUCACCAGGCCUGGUUUGCUGGGCAUUUUCAAUUUGUUCAUGCUCAUCUGUCAGGUCACUCCGACGUGACCAAGAAUGUUGUCUAUGUGACAGUCCUGACUUCUGUGGGACAGCCCCGGGCACAAAGGCUACAGAGGAGGAGCCUGCCGUCCUGACCAGAGGGCGUCUUACUCCAGAGAUGCGGGCUCCCCUGGCCUGAUGACUCUGCUCCUGCAUAGUCUCUUCUAGGCUUCCUUCCUAGCUAACAGACUCCGCCGUCACCUUGGCCUUAGCCCCCAGCCCAGGUCCCUUGUAGUCAGCCUCGUCUGCAUAGCCUUGUCCCAUAGACAUCACCGAUGACGCCCAGCUGCCUCCCCUGCUGCUCCUCCCGCGUGCAGCCCCUUCCCCUUUUCGUUUCUGUGCUCAGCCUCUCUAUGCUUGCAUCCGGCUCUGGCUUGGGCAUGUGACCCUCCGUGUGGAGAGCAUCGUGACUCAGAAACUGCCGAGUCAUGAGCUCUCACCCCAGCCCCAAGCUUCUGUGCACCGAUAGAUCAAAGCUCCCACUGCUGCUUCCUCCCGAGGGGCGGGCAGACACCUCCACUUCCGGAAUCCACAGCUAACCUUCCCUUUUUGCCCACGGUUUUUCUCUCCAGGGCUUGGCGCUCUCCUCGUGUGACUGUGAGCUCACUCCUCUAUUUUUAGCCCCCGCUCCCCCACACUGCUUUUUAAUUGCCCUCAGUCUAUGUCUUUUCUUUUAUUAUUGAUUUCCAGAGUCACUGACUGAGGGUGACACUCGUGUUGUCCUUAUGGUGAAUUCAUGUAGUGGCAUCUCGCCUUGCCAGUGAACUUGUCCGUAGUGGCCACACCCUUUUGGGUGUGGUUUCAGGCAGACUUAACCCUCUUUAAGGGAGAGGAGCUCUGGGCAUGUUCUCUCUUGGGUCACUGAGAGCAUCGGAAGGGCAGAGACUGUAUCUUCCGGAGCAGGAAGGCCACAGAGGUUAUUUACUCCUAUCUGUGUAAGUUGUUCCCCAAUGAAACACCCAUUUAUCUUUAUCUUGGGUUUGGUGAACUCAUUUAAACUUAAAUCCCGCCUUCACACUCAGUAUACUCUUCUUGCUUUGUUCACAAAUGUCAUCUCUUUGGGUUUCUUUAGCAGUGCAGUCAAGGAAGCAGAGAAACUCUUAGGGUCUCCAGUUCAUAGAUGGAGAAACUGAGGUUCAGAGAAGGUAAGUGACGUUCCCCAGGCUGCAUGGAUGUGUGGAUACCGAGUCUUCUCCAAACGGUCACCUCGCCCGUGCUGUAUAUUCUUUUUUUUAAUUUUAUUUAUUUUUAUUUUAUGUGCAUUGGUGUUUCGCCACGGGUGUCAGGUUCUCUGGGACUGGAGUCACAGACAUCUGUGAGCUGCUAUGUGGUUGCUGGGAAUUGAACCCGGGUCCUCUGGAAGACAAGUCAGUGCUCUUCCCUGCUGAGCCGUGUCUCCAGCCCCAUGCUGCAUAUUCUUAUUGCAGGAGGCACUGCCCCCUGUGGCUGAUUCUCUGAGUCACCAUCACUUCCCACGAAUCCUUUCUUGUUAACAGGUCAGCCAGCACCCACCAAAAACAUUUCAGUGAGCAGAAACGCCAAGACAUUUCUUUCUCUUUCCUGAGCCUUCAGGUCCAGGAACAUAAUUGCAUAUUCUAGGAUUCUAGAAGAUGAAAGCUUCUUCGUUCGUCCUUUGUUGCUGGGGAGGUUUGAAAGAAAAUGGCCCCCAAAGGGAGUGGCACUACUAGGGGGUGUGGCCUUGUUGAAGUGGGUGUGGCCUUGUUGGAGAAAGGGUGGGCUUUGAGGUCUCUGUUGGUCAAACCUCACUCCAUGUGACAGACUACUUCUGUUGCCUGCAAGAUAUAGGACUCUCAGCUCCUUCUCCAGCACCAUGGCUGCCUGCACAACGCCAUGUCCCACCAUGACAAUGAAGGACUGAACCUCUGAACUAUGAAGAAACUGAGGUUUGGGGAAAAUCGAUUCAACUUCACAAGGAAAAGGAGCUUGGUCUCACAAUAUGUAAAACACAAAGGAAUGCCCUGUGCGUUUCCAACCUCUUUGCUGGAGUGGAAUCGGUUUCUGCUGGGG